UUCGUAUCGAACCUAACUGUGGUUAACGAUUACAAUCAAUGUAAAUUAAAUAUAUCAACUACCUAGAUAUUCGAACUAGGGACAAAUCGAGAGCGAAAAUCCGCGGGGGAGUAUUUAUUUGAAAGCACACGACUAUUUAUCGUGACUAACGAUUUUAACGAAAAAAGCGAGCAAACUGAUGUCGCACGAAUCGCCGACAGACACUGAGCUGCGGCUUGCGACGGGUUUCUUCGACGAUGGAAGCCCGCGCGGUUCCGCCAACGUGUUGUGAUGUAACCCGAACACGACAUGUACAUAUAAUAGAAGUAGAUAUAUAAUGUAUAUAUACAAUAUUAUUAUAAGUGCAGGUAGGUAUCCUGGUACCUACGCCCAUAGUUAUUAAUAUGUGAGCGAGCCGUGUGUGGUGGGGCUGACGGUCACGACAAGCCCGUACUGUAUAGUGUAUACUGUGUAGUUGAGCGGCACUACUCUAGUCGUCCGGCUUCUUCUGGUUCACCACAUGUCCACAUAUAUUAUUUACAAUAAUAUGUCUAUAUUGAAAAUAAUUUAUACGUUGGGUCGUAUUUAUUGCAAAAUUAUAACACUCAAAUAUAAAUAUAUAAUAUAUUAUGUAUUUAUGUAUAUUGUAUAUGCAUGUGACGUGUACGCGUAAUAUUAUAGACCUGCAAGGGCCAGAAAUUUACGGCCCAGCUCGGUCCUACAAUUUUUUUCUAAAGCCCGGUCUAAGAUAUUAUGUAAAAAAAAGACCAAGCCCAGCCCGAAAAUCAUCCUAAGCUCUUAAAAAGCCCGUUCCAGCCCAAAGAUGUUUUUUAUGUCCGGUCCAAAAUAUUUUUUUAAUAAAUAAAAGCCCGGUCCGGUCCAGUUCGAAAUAUUUUUAUUUAAAAUAUUAAAAUUUUCGUUAUUCGUGAUUGUUCCAACCAGGCACGGAUCCAAAGCAAAGAUCUGGGGGGGAGGGGCAACAAUAUUUUAUUGGUACUUUAUUUAUAAUUUAAAAAUUUUGUCAGAAUAGUAGGUAUAGGUAAUCCAUGAAAUAACAUGUCUAAGGGGGGGCUGGGCUCCUAGGCCCACCCUGGUUCCAAUGUCGAACUGUUAACUUAUCAUUUUAGUUUUAAAUAAUGAUUAUUAGUCAUACAAAAAAAAAAAAAAUAAAAAAAUGCCUAGGCGAGAUGUAAAAAAUUCUUAAAUAGUUCAAUCUAACUUUGGUUUAAGUCCAGCCCAAAAAGUUCUACCAAAAAAAAAGUCUGAUCUAACCCUUUUUAUUAUUUUUUUUAAUGCUCGACUCGGUCCAGUCCUUGCAGGUCUUUAGUGCGUACACAUGAAUACACAUUUAUUAUAGUUAUUAGUGUACCUAUCCUUUUUACCACUGUCUGAUGCCUAUGUGAUAAGUACUAACAAUCAGAUUCAUGGCCAUAAUGUGUUUCUAAAACUAUUUGUAAUAAUAAUAAUAUUGGUUUAGAAUAUAAUCAACGUAAUCUGUCUAUA